GGGCGGUUAGCUCAGCGGUAGAGCGUUCGCCUUACAAGCGAGUGGUCGUAGGUUCAAAUCCUAUACCGCCCA
rnacentral:tRNA from 1 species